rnacentral:misc_RNA from 1 species
UUAAGUUCAGCGGGUAUUCCUACCUGAUCUGAGGUCAACCUUAGAAGAGUUGGGUGUUUUACGGCAAAGCCACGCCGCUCUCCGCCUGCGAGAUAUUGCUACUACGCAGAGGAGGCCACGACGAGACCGCCACUCUAUUUCGGGGCGCCGCCUAGAAGAAGGCAGCCGAUCCCCAACACCGCAUCCAGCAAAAGCCGGCU